rnacentral:sRNA from 1 species
AGUUCCCGGGUCCCUCGGCCACCGAAGCCACCCAGCCCUGGUGAAAGGGCUCCCGCACCGCCCGAUGCUCCCCAUCUGCCUGGCGUUGUGCGCAGAGCUGGAAAGCAUGGCUGUUAUAAAUGAAUUCUGAUUUUGGGGAGCAGAUGCCAACUUAGAGCCUCGUACCAAUCUCUCUGUCUUUAAAAGAUGAGGUGACUUGGUGAUUUUCCUGGAAAAUUAUAGAAGCACUGAGGUGGACACUGCGGGUUGUGAGGCUCAGGAGGGGUAAGUGGCUGGCACAAGGUCACAGAGCAGCGCUGCCAUUUGGCUACUUUCCAAUUCAGCAUAGCUGCCCUCUCUGCUGGUGGUAUUCACAGCAUGCAAGAUAAAAUACUCACCAAGGAACAAGUGGCUAACUCCUCACAGAGCUCUCACGGUUUCCUCUUUCCUGACAAAAAGACUGGAGUGCAGUGGCCCAAUCUCUGCUCAUUGCAAGCUCUGCCUCCCAGGUUCAACUGAUUUUCCUGCCUCAGCCUCCUGAGUAGCUGGGAUUACAGGUGCCCAGCUAAGACCUGAAUGCCAUCACCCUCCCCAGGGCUCUGCAGUUUUCUCGU